rnacentral:rRNA from 1 species
UACAGAGGGGGCGAGCGUUGUUCGGAAUUACUGGGCGUAAAGGGCGCGUAGGCGGCCUGCUAAGUCGGACGUGAAAUCCCUCGGCUCAACCGGGGAACUGCGUCCGAUACUGGCGGGCUUGAAUCCGGGAGAGGAAUGCGGAAUUCCAGGUGUAGCGGUGAAAUGCGUAGAUAUCUGGAGGACACCGGUGGCGAAGGCGGCAUUCUGGACCGGCAUGACGCUGAUGGCGCGAAAGCCAGGGGAGCAAACGGG